GACGAACGCUGGCGGCGUGCUUAACACAUGCAAGUCGAACGGAAAGGCCCUGCUUUUGUGGGGUGCUCGAGUGGCGAACGGGUGAGUAACACGUGAGUAACCUGCCCUUGACUUUGGGAUAACUUCAGGAAACUGGGGCUAAUACCGGAUAGGAGCUCCUGCUGCAUGGUGGGGGUUGGAAAGUUUCGGCGGUUGGGGAUGGACUCGCGGCUUAUCAGCUUGUUGGUGGGGUAGUGGCUUACCAAGGCUUUGACGGGUAGCCGGCCUGAGAGGGUGACCGGCCACAUUGGGACUGAGAUACGGCCCAGACUCCUACGGGAGGCAGCAGUGGGGAAUAUUGCACAAUGGGCGGAAGCCUGAUGCAGCAACGCCGCGUGCGGGAUGACGGCCUUCGGGUUGUAAACCGCUUUCGCCUGUGACGAAGCGUGAGUGACGGUAAUGGGUAAAGAAGCACCGGCUAACUACGUGCCAGCAGCCGCGGUGAUACGUAGGGUGCGAGCGUUGUCCGGAUUUAUUGGGCGUAAAGGGCUCGUAGGUGGUUGAUCGCGUCGGAAGUGUAAUCUUGGGGCUUAACCCUGAGCGUGCUUUCGAUACGGGUUGACUUGAGGAAGGUAGGGGAGAAUGGAAUUCCUGGUGGAGCGGUGGAAUGCGCAGAUAUCAGGAGGAACACCAGUGGCGAAGGCGGUUCUCUGGGCCUUUCCUGACGCUGAGGAGCGAAAGCGUGGGGAGCGAACAGGCUUAGAUACCCUGGUAGUCCACGCUGUAAACGGUGGGUACUAGGUGUGGGGUCCAUUCCACGGGUUCCGUGCCGUAGCUAACGCUUUAAGUACCCCGCCUGGGGAGUACGGCCGCAAGGCUAAAACUCAAAGGAAUUGACGGGGCCCCGCACAAGCGGCGGAGCAUGCGGAUUAAUUCGAUGCAACGCGUAGAACCUUACCUGGGUUUGACAUGGAUCGGGAGCGCUCAGAGAUGGGUGUGCCUCUUUUGGGGUCGGUUCACAGGUGGUGCAUGGCUGUCGUCAGCUCGUGUCGUGAGAUGUUGGGUUAAGUCCCGCAACGAGCGCAACCCUUGUUCACUGUUGCCAGCACGUUAUGGUGGGGACUCAGUGGAGACCGCCGGGGUCAACUCGGAGGAAGGUGGGGAUGACGUCAAGUCAUCAUGCCCCUUAUGUCCAGGGCUUCACGCAUGCUACAAUGGCUGGUACAGAGAGUGGCGAGCCUGUGAGGGUGAGCGAAUCUCGGAAAGCCGGUCUCAGUCCGGAUUGGGGUCUGCAACUCGACCUCAUGAAGUCGGAGUCGCUAGUAAUCGCAGAUCAGCAACGCUGCGGUGAAUACGUUCCCGGG
rnacentral:rRNA from 1 species